rnacentral:rRNA from 1 species
GAUGAACGCUAGCGGGAGGCCUAAUACAUGCAAGUCGAACGGUAAGGUCCUUUCGGGGAUACACGAGUGGCGGACGGGUGCGUAACGCGUACGAAACAUACCUUCAACAGGGAGAUACCUCCGGGAAACUGGAAAUAAUACCCCAUAGUAUUGUGACAUCGCAUGAUGUUACAAUUAAAGACUUGGUCGGUUGAAGAUUGUCGUGCGUCUGAUUAGCUAGUUGGUGAGGUAACGGCUCACCAAGGCGACGAUCAGUAGCUGGUCUGAGAGGAUGAUCAGCCACACUGGAACUGAGACACGGUCCAGACUCCUACGGGAGGCAGCAGUAGGGAAUAUUGGACAAUGGGCGGAAGCCUGAU